GCUUUGAAUCUCAUAUGAUGAAGAUUGUCUACACAAGAAGUAAGAAUGAUUGUUGUGUGUAUUAUAAAGUGUCAUGUGAUAAUUCUAUUAUUCUUUUGAUGCUUAAUGUUGAUGACAUGCUCAUUGCUGCCAAGAAUAAACAUGAAGUUAUCCCUCUAAAGUCUUUGUUGAGUGCUGAAUUUGAUAUGAAAGAUUUUGG